UACGUAGGUGGCAAGCGUUGUCCGGAUUUACUGGGCGUAAAGCGCGCGUAGGCGGCUUGGCAAGUCGGAUGUGAAAUCCCUCGGCUCAACCAAGGAAGUGCAUCCGAAACUGCUGAGCUUGAGUACUUAAGAGGAUCGCGGAAUUCCCGGUGUAGCGGUGAAAUGCGUAGAUAUCUGGAGGAACACCGGUGGCGAAGGCGGCACCCUGGACCAACACUGACACUGAGGAGCGAAAGCCAGGGGAGCAAACGGG
rnacentral:rRNA from 1 species